UGAGGGAAAGGCGAAAAGAACCCCGGCGAGGGGAGUGAAAAAGAACCUGAAACCGUGUACGUACAAGCAGUGGGAGCACGCUUAGGCGUGUGACUGCGUACCUUUUGUAUAAUGGGUCAGCGACUUAUAUUCUGUAGCAAGGUUAACCGAAUAGGGGAGCCGAAGGGAAACCGAGUCUUAACUGGGCGUUAAGUUGCAGGGUAUAGACCCGAAACCCGGUGAUCUAGCCAUGGGCAGGUUGAAGGUUGGGUAACACUAACUGGAGGACCGAACCGACUAAUGUUGAAAAAUUAGCGGAUGACUUGUGGCUGGGGGUGAAAGGCCAAUCAAACCGGGAGAUAGCUGGUUCUCCCCGAAAGCUAUUUAGGUAGCGCCUCGUGAAUUCAUCUCCGGGGGUAGAGCACUGUUUCGGCAAGGGGGUCAUCCCGACUUACCAACCCGAUGCAAACUGCGAAUACCGGAGAAUGUUAUCACGGGAGACACACGGCGGGUGCUAACGUCCGUCGUGAAGAGGGAAACAACCCAGACCGCCAGCUAAGGUCCCAAAGUCAUGGUUAAGUGGGAAACGAUGUGGGAAGGCCCAGACAGCCAGGAUGUUGGCUUAGAAGCAGCCAUCAUUUAAAGAAAGCGUAAUAGCUCACUGGUCGAGUCGGCCUGCGCGGAAGAUGUAACGGGGCUAAACCAUGCACCGAAGCUGCGGCAGCGACGCUGAUGCGUUGUUGGGUAGGGGAGCGUUCUGUAAGCCUGCGAAGGUGUGCUGUGAGGCAUGCUGGAGGUAUCAGAAGUGCGAAUGCUGACAUAAGUAACGAUAAAGCGGGUGAAAAGCCCGCUCGCCGGAAGACCAAGGGUUCCUGUCCAACGUUAAUCGGGGCAGGGUGAGUCGACCCCUAAGGCGAGGCCGAAAGGCGUAGUCGAUGGGAAACAGGUUAAUAUUCCUGUACUUGGUGUUACUGCGAAGGGGGGACGGAGAAGGCUAUGUUGGCCGGGCGACGGUUGUCCCGGUUUAAGCGUGUAGGCUGGUUUUCCAGGCAAAUCCGGAAAAUCAAGGCUGAGGCGUGAUGACGAGGCACU
rnacentral:rRNA from 1 species